UACGUAGGGUGCGAGCGUUGUCCGGAAUUAUUGGGCGUAAAGGGCUCGUAGGCGGUUUGUCGCGUCGGGAGUGAAAACCCAGGGCUUAACCCUGGGCUGGCUUCCGAUACGGGCAGACUAGAGGUAUGCAGGGGAGAACGGAAUUCCUGGUGUAGCGGUGAAAUGCGCAGAUAUCAGGAGGAACACCGGUGGCGAAGGCGGUUCUCUGGGCAUUACCUGACGCUGAGGAGCGAAAGUGUGGGGAGCGAACGGG
rnacentral:rRNA from 1 species